AGGAGCAGAGGGACCCUGAAGAUCUGCUGGAAGGGGGAACCCAUAGGAAGCCAUAGGGUUCAGAACUCCUUGUAGACGUUGGCAGCUAAGAUUAACAAAACUCUGGUGUAUGGGCUUGUGCUGACAACACGGGGGCCGGAAAACCAGAGGAGCCAUUCUUCCAAUGUCACAGCUGGAGAGGGGACAGCUCCUGGAUGACAGUGAGUAGGAUACGGGGAUACUGCUCAACAUCCUACCAUGCACAGCAGUCCCUCUACAACAAGACAUCAUCGAGCCCAAAAUAUCAAUAGUGAUGAGGUUGAGGACGUGCUGCAAAGCUAAACUACCACUGUGAUACCAGACACGACACUGCUCAACACGAAAGGAAAGACACUGGAGCUUUUAAAAGCAAAGGCCCAUCAGUUCUAACUAUGAAUACUUCAUAUUGACAGUUCUUUACUGGAUGCUAUCAUAGCAAAUGACACCAGCACAGACUCCUUAGUACCCACUAGAGACAGAGGAACAGGGCUAGGGUGGAGAUACACACUCCUAUCCACUGGUUUACUCCUCAAAUGCCUGCAAAUGUCAUGGCUGGCUUGGGAUGAAGCCAGGAGCUGGAAAUUCCUGGGUCUGCCUCAUGCAGAACAAGAGCCUGAUGAAAAGUGCCACCCCUGCUGCCUUCUGAAGUCUAGAGUCUGGAGCUGAAGCUUGGCAUCAAAUCUAAACAUGCUGAUGUGGGA